AUGCCCCUGAGUCAAGGCCAGCAGUUUGCUGAAGCAGUUGGCUUCAUGCAAAGCCUAAAAAAUGUCUUUCUAUGGUCUGUUGGCCAUUUCAGAACUUUGGAAAUGUAAUGGUCAAUUCAAUGGAAAGAAACAUUU
rnacentral:snoRNA from 1 species